CCUACGGGUGGCAGCAGUGGGGAAUAUUGCACAAUGGGGGAAACCCUGAUGCAGCGACGCCGCGUGAGCGAUGACGUCUUUCGGUAUGUAAAGCUCUGUCAGCAGGGACGAUGAUGACGGUACCUGACUAAGAAGCCCCGGCUAACUACGUGCCAGCAGCCGCGGUAAUACGUAGGUGGCAAGCGUUAUCCGGAUUUACUGGGCGUAAAGGGAGCGUAGACGGCGUUGUAAGCCAGAUGUGAAAGCCCGGGGCUCAACCCCGGGACUGCAUUUGGAACUGUGUGGCUGGAGUGUCGGAGAGGCAGGCGGAAUUCCUAGUGUAGCGGGGAAAUGCGUAGAUAUUAGGAGGAACACCAGUGGCGAAGGCGGCCUGCUGGACGAUGACUGACGUUGAGGCUCGAAAGCGUGGGGAGCAAACAGGAUUAGAUACCCCAGUAGUC
rnacentral:rRNA from 1 species